ACUUUAUUCUCUCUCUCACACCUGAUGAUAAAGAAAUUACUCCUACACUCACGUCAGCUUCUCGAUCCUUCAUUUCAUUUUCAGACCAACUCUCUCAUCUUCUCAUCUUCAUCUCCGUCCCAUCUCUCUCUCUAACACACUGUGUGUGCGUCUAUUUCUCCAGCGAGGCUAUCAGAUUUUCGAAAUCGCUUUCAACCUAGCUCGCAAGGAAGAGAAGCCGACAAAGUGUAAUGCAAAGGCAAAGCACAAGGUGUUGAGAACAGCGUCGUGUCUCCACGGACAUCGUCCAUUUUCACCGCCACUUCCGCCGACCGCCGGUAGACUAGGUACACCUCAAUCACCAAACAAGAAGAGAAGUCAUAUCGGCCAUACUUGCUCUGCUGUUGUCUAUGACCUGCUUUACAGAUUGAGAUGCAAAUCGGUUUUUCUCUCUUCGCCAAUUUUCUUUUAGGCUUUGAUUGAUUCUCUCGCGUCUCUUCCAAUACCGCCUUCAUUUUGAUCCCUUUAUCCAAGGCAAUUGAUCACUAGACAAGAAGAAAGAUGUCGGCUUCCUCACAAACCUACCAGGCGCAUCCGAAAAACUCCAGAUUUUCAAUGCUGAUCUUGAACAGCCAGACAGUUUUGAUGCAGCCAUUGAAGGAUGCAUUGGAGUGUUUCAUGUGGCUCAUCCCAUUGAUUUUGAAGACAAAGAACCAGAACAAGUCAAGAACAGAAGAGCAAUCAAUGGGACUCUAAGCAUUUUAAAAGCUUGCCUUGAUUUCAAGACAGUGAAAAGAGUGGUGUACACUUCUAGUGCAUCAACUGUGGUGUGUAGUUAAUGGUCUGCACCGGUAGUCUAAUCACUGUAGUACCCUGCUGUUUACAUCAUUUUUAUUGUAUAUUUAAAGGUUUUAGUUAAGAGUGUUAAAUUGUCUAAUUGUCAUAGGUUCGUAACGAGAUUGGAACUUCUCAAGCACUGCCACAAGCAGCAUAACAUGCAAGAUCAUCAUCCUCUUCAAAUACAUGCGUCAUUCCAUCCUCUAAGGUUGUGACAUGCGCAUAAAUCAACUGAUUCAAAAUGGAAAAAGAGGGAUUAAAUCUUGUAUCUUGAAAGUUAGAUUUUGAAACUAAGAUGAUCUUUGCAUACGGGAAUAUGUGCAUGCACAGAUGAGAUGCAUACAUAGGGAUUGUUGGAUUUAUCAAACAUGAUAGAACAUCUAAAAGAAUGUGAUGGUUUGCUCGUUGCUUAACAACUUUUUGUCAAGCCGAACUUUGAUAAAACAGUGAUUGAAUGCUAUAUGAUCUAAUUUUUGACGUGUAUGUAAAUGACAUAUAAGGAAUUUUUUUUUUUU